AGUCAAGCAAGCUGUUUGAGGCAACCGCAGCUGAUCGAGCUGUGCGGCAGCGAGGCACGUCCUGGGCAGCUUGAUUGCCUCCGGUGUAGGGCCUUUUGUGUCCCGCGUAACGCCGGUAUAACGCAAUCACGAUGGGAAACAUCCUGCUAACGUCGCCUCUGAGCACAGCGGCGACGUCUUUCGCAAAACGAAAGCGGAAAUCCAUGGACGAUGAUUCCUCCGGACAAGACUCGGAGUGGGCCUCGGCGCCGAAAAGAAAGAAGCUCAUGACGACGUCCCAGUACAUCUACCGCACGCUGUUCCUGGAAGGCCAAAACAGCGACGUCACCAUCGUGGCCUUGGGAAUAGACUGGUGUCUCCACAAGGUCUACCUCUGUCAGUCUCCAUAUUUUGCAAGCAUGUUUUGCGGGGAUUGGAAAGAGAAAGAAGAAGGUAUCGUGGAGGUAGGAAUUGAAGAUCCACGGAUUACAUGUGAUGCCCUAAAGAUUGUUUUUGGCUCACUGUACCUGGAUGAAAUUGUCAUCGAGCCAGGCGAUGUCAUCCCAGUGCUGGCAACGGCAACAUUGUUUCAACUGGAUGAGCUCAUCCAGCUGUGUUCUGAAAUAAUGGAAGAAACAAUCAAGCUGGACACUGUUAUUUCAUAUUACGAAGUUGCUGAACAGUAUGCACUGACACGCCUGAAGCAGAAAUGCUUUGAAUGGCUGGAACGCAAUCUCACGUUCCUUGUCAAUGAGGAUGCCAAAACUCUCCGGCAGAUUCCACCUGGCCUUAUGGAGCAGCUGGUCAAAUCACCUGCGCUAGUUGUCGUGCAGACAGAGUUUUCACUCUACCUUAUGGUCACAGCUUGGACAUUUUUGAGAGAGCACCCUUCUUGGGAAGGUGACCUGAAAGAGUGUGCACUAGAAGCACACAAAUACUUUAAGGAGAGAUCAGGGGACUGCUUCACACAGUCUGAUGAAGGCCAGGAGUACACAGAGGUGUACAAGGGGCUGCGCAUUGAGCAUCUCAUCAACCACCCCUUGGAUGUUGUGAUGAUAGAGCAAAACAACAUCUACCCUAAAGAGGCUCUAUAUCCUGUCUUCCGUAACCAAUGGUACCAAAUGCUGAGAAUUGAUCAGGGUCUUGACAAGGGUCCAAAAAACAUAGCGGAGGAAGAGUUUGACAAAUGCUGCCUGCGUUGUGGCCGAAUCCUCAUGACAGACGUCCAGCACAUUUGGCGGUGGACAGGCUACAACUUCGGGGUGGACCUCAUCGUUACCUACCAGAGCAGGACCAUCAAAUUUCGGCGCAAUGACCGAUCAGAGCCAGAAGUGUUCCGUUCAAAUGUGGCUUGGGGCCGGAGGCAUCUACUGUACCGGCUUUCAGUCUACACUGUGGGACCUCUGGGGGAUGCUGUGUUGCUGGAGUCUACUGGUCUUCGGUCAAUCACCCUUGGCAGAAAUGCUGAGACCAAAGUACUCACCAUCGAGAGGGAGUUCAAGCUUCCUAUCAUCAUCAGCGCCAACUUUCUUGUGACCACACCACUGUCUCUCGAGACCACGGAGGCUGUGCAGAGCUAACUCAUUGUGUGCAGUUUGAAUGCCUACGAACAUCGAAACGCGUGGAAAGUCACUGCUGUUGGACCAUAUGGCUGUGUGUGUUAGCUCGGUGCGUGCUCCUACGUAAAAAAAAAUCAAAAUAUUGGCUCGCGGCAUGUGCACUGUAGUAACAGUACAAAUGAUCACCGCCACUGCAGUGCAGUACAUAGGGGGACAACAGGAGCCUAUGGACAGUGCAACCGGAAAAAAAAUGCAGAAGCAGUUGUCUUUACCCAAAAAAUUAGGCAUAUGUAAAGUUCCACAAGCUGACUUUUGUGCCUACCUGAGUUGCCCUUAACCGAUUAGACCAAGCUCCCACUUGCAGCACUGCCAGAGCCUUUGCCAGCACUGCCGAAGCCAAGUGGCAUGUACCAAAAGCUUGGGACUGAGCGAAGCGUGGCACCGGUCUUGACGCCAUAUUUCCAAUUCUAGUCCAUGGUCCACUAUCUUGGUUGGGUCGACAGACAAAGCAUUCAUCAGCCUCUAGAACAGCCCAACGAAAAGACCAUCAUGCGAUCAUGGAAAUGCGGACUUAUGUGGUUGCUUGUGUGUCUUGCCCAUAAUGUAUGCUGGAUAAAGAGCAAAGAAAAAAAGUGGUCUUUUUCAUCUGAAAUCGCCCAACCUAUAAAAAAAAGGUAAAUAAUCUGCUGCACAUAGCUAAACUAUUUUGCAUCAGGUUCUAAAUCCUCUUGAUUAUAUACUUGCACUGCAUUUAUAAGGAAACAAGAAAGAAUGUGUAACUUGUUAUAUCUUGCAUGCAAGAACAAAACAAAAGAAAAUUGACCAGCACUUAGAUUAGUCUUGCAAAACCUUAUUAUAUAAAUUACAUACACAUUUUUACAUUUUCUAGCCCUUUUUGUACGUUACAAGCAUGCCCUCCUGUGUGAAAAGCUUAUUCCUGGCGUCAUUUAAGCACCUUGUACUGAUUUGCAUUGGUGGCACAGGCCUUUUGCUUGCAAUGUUUUGUGUUGACAGUUCUUUUUACCUGUUCUGCUCUCGUAUUCUAGUCUGUAUCGUUAAAACAUCAACUUACUUACAUGCAUGUUUAGCUCCCUUGUUGUUUGGACUACACACACAGUGUAAAUAUGUCUGAGUGUGGUUGCAAAUAUUUCAUGUUGUUGUGGAGAGGCUGUAUAGAAAAUGGCUUGGUGCAUUUUUGUUAGCAUGGUGUGGCAUAGGAGUCUUGAACUUUCUGAAACAUUUUUCACAACUCUGACAUGUGUUCUUUUUUUUUUUUUUGCCAGCAGAAGUGUGCAGACCACUGCAGCUGCCAAGAAAUAGUUGCCUUGUGAAAAAGCAUGUACUAUAUUGUGGAAUUUAUCAGUGGAACCUGGACUAGUUGGUGUGAUGGCUAUGUAGCACUUUUUGAUUUCCAUCUACAAGCUGCAAGAAAGCAGUUUUCUUUUUUCAGAAUUGUUGUGGUCUGUGGGCUUUUCUGGUGACAAAAUAUAUUAUUUUGCAUAUGUUGAUAAAGGAUACUAGCAAUAUGCUGUGCAACACGGUUACAAGGUGUGCUUUAGUAUAACAUUUCUUGUUUAUUCAAGUGUCCUCUUGUCAACACUGUGGUUACUAUCGCAGGUUCCAAAUAAUGGCACAUAGCGUUCGGUGACAGCUGCUAAACAGCUAUAUUUGUAAACGCAUAGAACAUGCAUACAAAUGCAGUUGUGAUUAGAAACAAAAAUAUUCUGGUGAAUUUUUAAUUUGAAUCCUCAAGUGUACCCACAAGAUUGUUUAUAGUUUGCAUUUUGCUGUCACUAGCCUAGCAGGCAUGAUACUUAUUGCCCUAAAUAAAAUUGUAUUGCAGGGAAGGUGAUGUAUAUUUAAAAGUUAGGCAUUGCAAACAAGAAAUAACUGUGUUGAUGUCAGGGGCGUUGUGCUGUACUCUUUCUUUUCCUAAUCUUUUUUUUCCUAAGUCUAACAUUUCUAAUACUACAUGACUGCCAACACAACAAUAUGGAGCACUGUUAAACUUCAAUUUGAGAAACUUGGCGGGACCCUAGGAUAAUUUCUUAAAAUUUAGAACUUCAUUGGACUGAAAAACCUUAAGCGCUUGUGUGAAUAAUUCGAAUAAAGGGUGAAACACGGUGCCAUUUUGGCUUAAUGGGCUUGAUCAGCGGAGGGCAUACACAGUUCUUGACAGUAAGCUCAUUUCAACUUAGCUUCAACAGAGUGGCUGGCACAUUCUGGUAUAGCCAAGUCGGCAGUGCUUAGGCCCUCCAAGGAGCAGUUUUGUAAAAGGAGAGUGGUGCACAUCAAGCAGGUGUAGUGAUUUGUUUACUGUAGCGAUAUGUUAAUUUUUAGGUAUUUUCUGCACUAUUCAAUGAACUUAAUCAAAUUGGCAAGGCAUUGAGUCAACUUUGUUGCUUAAAACUUUUGAAUGCAUUAGGCUCUAUGAAUAGGUGCUGAAGAAUUAAAAAUACUUCAGUCGAAUUUUUUAAUAAAAUUGUGUUUUGUUAGUUGAGGUUUAAAAUUGCUCGGGAAAGAAAAAUUGCUUUAUUAUUGAAGUGAACAGCGGCACACAGCUGUGAAUUGAAAUAGCACUGCGCUUCACUAAUGCUUCUCACCGAUUCCCAAGCUCUAAUUUCAUUAUCAGGAACUUAUGCAUUCAUUUAAAAGUGCUGGUCUCCUUGAAGCAAGCCCUUUGCCCAAAAAUUACAGCAUACGGAGUAAUAUAAAAGUGCUGCGAUCAUUUGGAGAACCCCGGACCACCCACCCUGUUUUCAUAAGUCUUGGCAGCACUUAAAGUGGAGAAACAUUUAAUAUGAGGAAAAAUCCUGAAUAUACUUGUAUAACUUUUAUGAAUAAUUUCGGUUUACUUGUGUUUUUGAAAGGAUUCAAAUAGCAUAAUUAUGUCCGGUGUUGUGCGUAACAGAAGCGUCUUUCAGUAGUGUAUUUAAUGAAUAAAUGUGUCAUUAUUUGCAA
rnacentral:misc_RNA from 1 species